rnacentral:rRNA from 1 species
UUAGCAUAUCAAUAAGCGGAGGAAAAGAAACCAACAGGGAAUUGCCCUAGUAACGGCGAGUGAAGCGGCAACAGCUCAAAUUUGAAAUCUGGCUCUCGGGCCCGAGUUGUAAUUUGUAGAGGAUACUUUUGAUGCGGUGCCUUCCGAGUUCCCUGGAACGGGACGCCAUAGAGGGUGAGAGCCCCGUCUGGUUGGAUGCCAAAUCUCUGUAAAGUUCCUUCGACGAGUCGAGUAGUUUGGGAAUGCUGCUCUAAAUGGGAGGUAUAUGUCUUCUAAAGCUAAAUACCGGCCAGAGACCGAUAGCGCACAAGUAGAGUGAUCGAAAGAUGAAAAGCACUUUGAAAAGAGAGUUAAAAAGUACGUGAAAUUGUUGAAAGGGAAGCGUUUAUGACCAGACUUGGGCUUGGUUAAUCAUCUGGGGUUCUCCCCAGUGCACUUUUCCAGUCCAGGCCAGCAUCAGUUUUCCCCGGGGGAUAAAGACUUCGGGAAUGUGGCUCUCUUCGGGGAGUGUUAUAGCCCGUUGUGUAAUACCCUGGGGGGGACUGAGGUUCGCGCAUCUGCAAGGAUGCUGGCGUAAUGGUCAUCAACGACCCGUCUUGAAACACGGACCAAGGAGUCGUCUUCGUAUGCGAGUGUUCGGGUGUCAAACCCCUACGCGUAAUGAAAGUGAACGCAGGUGAGAGCUUCGGCGCAUCAUCGACCGAUCCUGAUGUUCUCGGAUGGAUUUGAGUAAGAGCAUACGGGGCCGGACCCGAAAGAAGGUGAACUAUGCCUGUAUAGGGUGAAGCCAGAGGAAACUCUGGUGGAGGCUCGCAGCGGUUCUGACGUGCAAAUCGAUCGUCAAAUAUGGGCAUGGGGGCGAAAGACUAAUCGAACCUUUCUAGUAGCUGGUUUCCGCCGAAGUUU